CGCCCCUUCCGCGAGUCCUUUCCCCCGCGCGUCCGUGCAGUGGACGCGAGGCUCCAAUGCACAGUACAGAGGUGACAGAUAGCUGGAGAGAGGAUUCAGCUCCCUCCUCCCUCCAGCCUGAAGGUGGCAAUAGAGAGCGCCGCUGUGCAGUGAAUUAAGUCAGCCGUUCUGCCUCAGUCUCUCUCACAUGACCGGAGGGAGGAAGAAAAUGUUUCAUACACAGUGUGUCUGUUUACCUGUUUGCGGAAGCCUUGGCGGAUGGCGCUGUGAAGAUGGGGAUGCCCAGUGCCUUGUCUAGCCGCAUUGCAGCCCAGACUCUGCUGGGGGCAGCGAAGAUGAUUCUACAAAGUAAGGAGCACCCCGCGAAGCUGCGCUCUGAUGUCUGCACCCCCGGAGGCACCACCAUACACGGACUCCAUGAACUGGAGAAGGGGGCCCUGAGGGCCACAGUAAUGAAUGCUGUGGAAGCUGCAACAAAUGGAGCCAGAGAUCUGGACAAGCGCUAACAACUCCACACAUUCAUUGAGAGAAUUCAACAAGAGAGAUCCUUCCAACUCAUCAUCGGCUUCCCCACUGUGACUAGACAAUGGAUGGGGCUGUAAUGUAUUACAAUACCUGCAGAGCAAGAACAGCAAUUUGUACCUCGGGGGAGGAGUUACCACUCCCAUAUCGGAGAUAAGCAAUCCCAGGAGGACCAAACUAGAACUUUUCUGAUUCUAAAAACAGAAAUAUACAUUGCAGCUCCUCGCUGUCCCCCUGUGUGGUUCUACUCUAAUCUCUGGGAGUUCUGUCAGUGGAACACAAAUAGCGAUAAAUAAAUUGCAAGCAAGUUUACCUAAAGGGUUCCCCCGCCCUUAAAAGGCGUAACAAAUGCAAACUCCGGACGGUUUUCCCCGACAUUCCCUCAGUACAUAC